CAUGGCCCUUAUGGGUAGGGCUUCACACGUCAUACAAUGGUCGGGACAGAGGGUCGCCAACCCGCGAGGGGGAGCCAAUCCCAGAAACCCGAUCGUAGUCCGGAUCGCAGUCUGCAACUCGACUGCGUGAAGUCGGAAUCGCUAGUAAUCGCGGAUCAGCAUGUCGCGGUGAAUACGUUCCCGGGUCUUGUACACACCGCCCGUCACACCAUGGGAGUGGGUUUUACCAGAAGUAGUUAGCCUAACCGUAAGGGGGGCGAUUACCACGGUAGGAUUCAUGACUGGGGUGA
rnacentral:rRNA from 1 species